UAAGGAAUAUUGGUCAAUGGACGCAAGUCUGAACCAGCCAUGCCGCGUGAAGGAUGAAGGUCCUCUGGAUUGUAAACUUCUUUUAUCUGGGACGAAAACGGGAUUUUUAUCUCAAUUGACGGUACCAGAGGAAUAAGCACCGGCUAACUCCGUGCCAGCAGCCGCGGUAAUACGGAGGGUGCGAGCGUUAUCCGGAUUUACUGGGUUUAAAGGGUGCGUAGGUGGGCUUAUAAGUCAGUGGUGAAAUCUCCGAGCUUAACUUGGAAACUGCCGUUGAUACUAUAGGUCUUGAAUUAUCUGGAGGUAAGCGGAAUAUGUCGUGUAGCGGUGAAAUGCUUAGAUAUGACAUAGAACACCAAUUGCGAAGGCAGCUUACUACAUAUAAAUUGACGCUGAGGCACGAAAGCGUGGGGAUCAAACA
rnacentral:rRNA from 1 species